GCGGGAGCGCCACCGCCAGUGGGGUGGGGGCAAAGCUAUAAAGAAGACCCAGAGGUAAGAAACUAACAAAAACACAACCACAAGUUAUGCCCGUGCUGUGCCUCUGCAGCAGCAAAGACAAGCGGUGUGGGGUUUGGGGAUGAGUCUACACUUCUCGUGGGGGAGAGAAAGGGUGUGUGCCUCUUUGGCAUAAGCCAUUUGCAUAGUGUCUUUAGACCAGAGUUUACUUUCAGCAGAAAACCGUGGCUGAAUUUUUUCCCCUCUUUUCUUCUGUAUCGUUUGAAAAGAAGUCUUUGGAAUUUUGGAGAAAGAGAAAAUGAUCAUUACCAGAGUUGGCGCAGCUGAAAUAAAUGACUGUCCAAGGCAGUGUUCAUAACAAUGAUCCAGAAAAGUUUCCAACAAGAGUGAACAGCAAUUGUGUCUGACUUAAAGGGACAAUGGUGACUCGUUUGUGAGAUGCAUACGGCAAAGAACAGAGUCAAAAUCCUUAGUAAAUAUUUUUAAAUUUUAAAAUGUUGCUUACCUACAUUCUUCUAAAAUUUUUGAAUUCCCUCUAUUAAAAUGUAUUUCUUAUGACCUUUAUUUGCAAAGAAAAUUGUAUCUAUGCUUUGAAUGUCAAACUGCAGUAAUUAAUUUCAGAUGGCGUUUUGUACUUGAAAAUGUGUCUAUAUAAUAAAGGAAGAGAAGGUCUAUAUUCCAAACAAAAACAGAAAAUUGUGUUGAAAUUAAUGGUUUUCCUCCACUGAAAAGAUGCUACAUUGGAUUUACAGGACACCAACUAAGCAAUUUAAGUAUUAAGAGGGCAACUAUUUAGAAAGAGAAUAAGCUUUUGUUGUGUUAUAUUUGUCUUAAAACUGUAGAGGCCUUUUGUGAAAAAAACUGUCUUCCAUUUAUAGCUGAAAUACUAAAAACCUUAUUUGUACCACAGUAGCUCCAUAAUGAUGAAUCCUUAAGGCACCAAAAAAACGGAGUUCAAAACAACAUUCAAUUUACUGUUGGAUAUAACUGUAAUUGUGGCGAGGCUAAAUGAAUUUGUUUAUGUUCUCAAUAGCCAUAAAAGAAAUUUUAUUCUUUUACCUUACUACAGUAAGGUUAUUGCAUAUCACUUGUUUGUAUUUAAUUAUUCAAUAAAAUGUGCAUUAGGCUGGAAAAGCUCCUGCAAGAUAUUUAAUAUCUUAAGGGACAUAACUAUUUAAAGAUAAACAUUUCUGCUUUUCCUUGGUAAUUUUUAAAACUUGUAAUUUUAACUAGAAUUUAAGUCACUUUCUUCCAAGUGAGACUUUAAAGAAGCCCUAAGUAACAGGUUGUUGACUUUCCUUGUUGACACCUCCGGGUUAUAUAUAAAACCAGUUCUCAAACAAAACACACACACUGGCUUUAUAGGUGAAUCAUUUACCCUUUAAGAACUAGCCAGGGAAAUACAGUUCUGCUGUAUGUAAAUCAUAAAGCAUCCAAGAUUACAUUAAAAAUAGUUUUAAGUAAACAUCGACUUAAUUUAGUUACUUAGUAACUACUUUCUUUUCCCAAAGAAAGCUUUAUAAAAUUACGCCAGAGAAAAAUAAGAGACUUGAACAUAGCAAGAAGGCCACUGGGGGCUGAAGUUUACCUAAAUAUCUCAGCUGCAGAAAAUGAGAAGCCAGUGCUUACAAAACAACCAAACCCAAGGCUAAAAACCUCAAAUGUGUACAACUAUACUGAGCAGUAAACCAAAUCUUACCAAAGUUUCUCUUUAAAAUUUACUGCUUGCUCAAAAACACCCUGAAAUUAGGUGGAAGUCAAAAAAAAAUGUAUUCUCUUCUAUAAAAUAAGUGAUCCAACAAACUGAACUUGAUUUUUUCACGUUUAAUGUGAAAACGAUGAUCUUGUGAAGGUUACAUACCACAGUAUUAGGCAUUACUUAAUAUCAACUUUAAUGGCUAUGUUACAUCAUCUAAAAAUAUGACAAUUGGUGGCACAUUACAUGCUGUUGAAAACUGCUGUAAAACAGAAAUAAUGUGAAUUCAGACACAUAUUGCCAAACAAGCUGGGGAUCGCUCUUAAAUGACUAGAUGGCAAACUUCACAGGUUAGCAAGAUAAAAAGAAAUUGCUCCAUCUUUUCCGCCCCCGUGUUAAAAUGAGUCUUAGAUGAUAAAAUAACAAGAUCCAAGAUACAUUAAAUAAAAAUAUUUACAAAAGUUCAAUAAUGUUUUAGACCAAACAAAAACAAAAAAGGAAAACUUAAGGAAAUCAUUCUUGUUCUAAAUUUAAUUUAUUUUCUGUUCUUAGUUACGAGCACUUCAAAGGCUUUUUAAUAAUACAGUCACUCUUAAACUCCCAGUUAAAAUGAGGUGAGGUAACAUUUAAUUAAAGCAACAAGUUAUCGCAGUUACGUGAAAGUGUCUUCGUGGUAGUUUAAGAGACACUUCACACCAUUCAACAGAGAAGAAACUUGGAUAAUUAUCUCAAGAAAACGCUGCCUCAUCUGAAAUUUGAAGUUCAAUGUAGUUUAUCUAAGACAUUUUAUCUUUGGGCCACUAACAAAGAAGACAUUUUAUUAAAUUGCGCCAGUCCGCAGGCAGAUGCCUUAAAAGAAAGGCUCUUGAAAAAUAAUUCUUAAAUUAGCAAGUUGACAUUCUUUUCUAAAUGAUGGGAAUGUUUAUUGAAAACAUUAAAUGUAUUACUUUUUAUAAGAUCCCACUCGUAACUUAAAAAUAAGUAACAAGUAACCACCACUGACACUGAAAGUUAUCUAGUGAUAAGAAAUUGCACAUUUAGUCAGAAAACAGUCAACCUGGAAUUCUAAUUACACGCCGGUAAUGAAACCACAGUACCUGUUUCCAGAAACCAGGUGUUAAAGCUGAAUGUGAACAAUGCAAAUGUAUUUCUGAAUCUAUAUAUUGCAAAUAUGAGCAAAAUUACGAGCACGAUUUCUGUUUUCAUGUAAGACAUAAACAUUAUUUUACCAUGUCUCUAGUAAUAAGGUACAUUUUCCAUCUACGUGUGAAAUAAAAUACUGGAAAGGCGAAGCUUCUUAAAAUAUUUCAAACACCCAAAGCGAAGUGUUUUGCCAGUGCAGGGGAGGUGCCCACAAAACAUCAGCCACAUGUCUGAAAGAGGCCGUCCGGUCGAUGCCGUCAGUCUUCAUACUGGCUAAGAUCAUACAAGCUGGGUUUAUGCUGACGCUGUCCCACUGACACGAGAAGGAAGGCGCUCUCUGGAUUUUCAAUGCUGCCUAUUUACCUAUCUUUUCAAAUUCAGUAAAACCAACUCGGUGCUUCUAAAUGUAUGUGGCAUUUCAGUUCAGGACAGGAUCUAGUUUUACCGAUAAUGUUUGCCUAUAAAGGAGAGUUGCAUUCGCGGGCCUUUAGCUUUUUACAGGAGCUCAUCCAAAAUAAGACAACAUAAAAAUACCACUAAUAAACAACCCAACGUCUUUAAUUAAAUACCUACUAUCAUGACAGGGAGCUUUAGGUAAGAAGCUAUUAUUAGUGAGCUUGCUUCUCCACGACUGGACAUAAUUCACUAUUCCUAAGAUGGUAACAUCAGAAUUCUUUUUCAGGAUUCCUGCGGGGCUGUGCUCAUUUUACAUCCGUGUGAACUGCUGUCAUCGCUACUAUGUCCGAGCCCAGAGGAUGAACUGGAAAAGAAGAGAGGGGGAAAAUAAUAAAAAGAGGAAAUUGGUUUUCACAACACACUCAAAGCCUGAGUAACAGAGGAGAACUUUAAUUAUCUCCAGUCACAAAGAGAGACAGGAAAUUUGGACUUUUAAUUAGCCAUUUGGAGUGCAGUUGGAUAUUUUUUUAGCUAGAUAAUUUAAACGCGAAUAAUUCAAGUCUGACUAAAUGAAAGUCACAUAAUCAGAAUGCAGAUAAUUGAAUUUCUACUGCGUUCAUUAAUUCAGUGUGGAGGUGUGUGUGAAGACUACUAUGAUGAGCUGUCACAGCUCAAUAAAAUCUCAGUCAAUUAAUUUUUUCAUUAUCUUAG
rnacentral:lncRNA from 1 species